UACGUAGGGUGCAAGCGUUAAUCGGAAUUACUGGGCGUAAAGCGUGCGCAGGCGGUUAUGUAAGACAGGUGUGAAAUCCCCGGGCUUAACCUGGGAACUGCAUUUGUGACUGCAUAGCUAGAGUACGGUAGAGGGGGAUGGAAUUCCGCGUGUAACAGUGAAAUGCGUAGAUAUGCGGAGGAACACCGAUGGCGAAGGCAAUCCCCUGGACCUGUACUGACGCUCAUGCACGAAAGCGUGGGGAGCAAACAGG
rnacentral:rRNA from 1 species